rnacentral:rRNA from 1 species
CGAGGAAUCUUCCACAAUGGGCGAAAGCCCGAUGGAGCAACGCCGCGUGGAGGACGACGGCCUUCGGGUUGUAAACUCCUUUCGGAGGGGAUGAAGAGGACAGUACCCUCAGAAGCAGCCCCGGCUAACUCUGUGCCAGCAGCCGCGGUAAUACAGAGGGGGCAAGCGUUGUCCGGAAUUACUGGGCGUACAGCGCGCGCAGGCGGAUGUGGACGUGCCGUGUGACAAGCCACCGCUCAACGGUGGAGGGCCAUGGUACACGACACAUCUGGAGGCAGGGAGAGGGAUGUGGAAUGCCCGGUGGAGCGGUGAAAUGCGUAGAGAUCGGGCGGAACACCAGCGGCGAAGGCGGCAUCCUGGCCCUGACCUGACGCUGAGGCGCGAGAGCGUGGGGAGCGAACUG